rnacentral:rRNA from 1 species
CUUUCGUGGGCGUAGGAUAUUUGAGAGGAGCUGUUCCUAGUACGAGAGGACCGGAAUGGACGAACCAAUGGUGUUCCAGUUGUCGCGCCAGCGGCAUUGCUGGGUAGCUAAGUUCGGAAUGGAUAACCGCUGAAAGCAUCUAAGCGGGAAGCCAACCUCAAGAUAAGAUAUCCCUUUCCCGUGGAAACACGGGAACUAAAGACCCCUUGUAGACGACAAGGUUGAUAGGCCAGAUGUGUAAGUACGGCAACGUAUUUAGCUUACUGGUACUAAUCGGUCGUGAGGCUUGGCCAC